UCAAUAAGCGGAGGAAAAGAAACCAACAGGGAUUGCCCUAGUAACGGCGAGUGAAGCGGCAACAGCUCAAAUUUGAAAUCUGGCUCUCUUUGGGGGUCCGAGUUGUAAUUUGCAGAGGAUGCUUUGGCAUUGGCGGCGGUCUAAGUUCCUUGGAACAGGACAUCGCAGAGGGUGAGAAUCCCGUACGUGGGCGCCUGCCUUUGCCGUGUAAAGCUCCUUCGACGAGUCGAGUUGUUUGGGAAUGCAGCUCUAAAUGGGAGGUAAAUUUCUUCUAAAGCUAAAUACCGGCCAGAGACCGAUAGCGCACAAGUAGAGUGAUCGAAAGAUGAAAAGUACUUUGGAAAGAGAGUCAAAAAGCACGUGAAAUUGUUGAAAGGGAAGCGCUUGCAGCCAGACUUGCCCGCAGUUGCUCACCUAGGCUUUGGCCUGGGGCACUCUUCUGCGGGCAGGCCAGCAUCAGUUUGGGCGGUUGGAUAAAGGCCUCUGUCACGUAUCUCCCUUCGGGGUGACCUUAUAGGGGAGGCGUAAUGCAACCAGCCCGGACUGAGGUCCGCGCAUCUGCUAGGAUGCUGGCGUAAUGGCUGUAAGCGGCCCGUCUUGAAACACGGACCAAGGAGUCUAACAUCUAUGCGAGUGUUUGGGUGUCAAGCCCGGGCGCGCAAUGAAAGUGAACGGAGGUGGGAACCCUUUGGGUGCACCAUCGACCGAUCCUGAUGUCUUCGGAUGGAUUUGAGUAAGAGCAUAGCUGUUGGGACCCGAAAGAUGGUGAACUAUGCUUGAAUAGGGUGAAGCCAGAGGAAACUCUGGUGGAGGCUCGCAGCGGUUCUGACGUGCAAAUCGAUCGUCAAAUUUGGGCAUAGGGGCGAAAGACUAAUCGAACCAUCUAGUAGCUGGUUCCUG
rnacentral:rRNA from 1 species